GAUCCUCUUCUGCUCACAGUUGUAUUCUUCAGGAUCUGCAGAGAGACAUAUAUAUAUAUAUAUAUAUAGUCGAUCAGCAGAUUGCUGUUGGCAUUAUAUGGCAUAAAAGACUAUUUCUGGUCACAACCAUAGGAGCAAAGACGGUGAAGGAUGGUAUCAAGUUGAUAUUACUGGUGGCCGAUCGAAGUACGAAAUAUAAGCAAGCAAUUAACUCGAUUCAAGUGAUGUCCAAGAUCGAAGAUGGACACAGACGCUGAUACCGAUGCGUAGAUAAGAGUCAUACUUGUCUCAGCAUGUUGUUCUCGUUCUGCAAUGUGGACAUCCUCUCCUCCAGCUCCGAGUUCUUGGCCUCCAAAUCCUUCACCUUGGCCUCCAGAUCAUUCAGAUAAGCUUUCUUCCGCUCCCUUGCCUGCUGAGCCGAUACUCUAUUCCUCAGCAACCUUUCUCGGACAUAUAUAACCAAAUAGCUCAUCAGAUAAUAGCGGCAGGCAGAACACACACAUCAAGAUUCGCUCAAAAGAAGAUUACAAGAGAUCAUGCGCAU
rnacentral:lncRNA from 1 species